GUGUCAGCAGCCGCGGUAAUACGGGGGGUGCAAGCGUUGUUCGGAUUUAUUGGGCGUAAAGCGCGUGUAGGCGGUUUUUUAAGUCUGAUGUGAAAGCCCUGGGCUCAACCUGGGAAGUGCAUUGGAUACUGGAAGACUUGAAUACGGGAGAGGGCAGUGGAAUUCCUGGUGUAGGAGUGAAAUCCGUAGAUAUCAGGAGGAACACCGGUGGCGAAGGCGGCUGCCUGGACCGAUAUUGACGCUGAGACGCGAAAGCGUGGGUAGCAAACAGGAUUAGAAACCCGGGUAGUCC
rnacentral:rRNA from 1 species